rnacentral:tRNA from 1 species
CUCUGAGUGGCAUAAAUGGUUAAGUGUUUGGCUACUAACCAAAAGGUUGAUGGUUCAAAUCCACCCAGAGU